GAUGACAAACGCCUGCUUAGAAACAAACAUCGCUGGUCGAAAGUAACUAGCGACUGAUCUGGUAACUACCGAUCUAUCGAAUGAAGUUGAUUCUGUCUAAGCACACAGAUAGCGUGGUGAUAGCAGCGCGGCAAAGUUUCCGACGCGGUGCGAGUUUACAACGUACGUCAUCAAUUGCGCGCGCAUCCUCGAUCUUCUUGCAUCGAACAACCGCCAUGGGCACAUCGAUCUACAUCGCUCCGUUUUUUAUGCGUCUUUUGUCUGUCGAAAGUGAGUCCUACGCGAAAAUAACUGUCGGGAGUGUCGAAAGUAGCGAUGUACGAUCGUCGGGGCAUAUCGUGAGGACAUUAUUUCUGCCCGGCCACUUUCGUGGGUGAAGUUCGGAGUCACAUAAUGUCGAUGGUGAAUUACGGAUAAGAAGAGGCGAUUAGUUCCAACGCGAGCGAUGUACGGGGCGACUCGAUGGAGAGAUAAGAAGGCGAUCGCGGCGAAAUGCGCUGAAAAACGCGAGGAGUUCGUGCCGCCGACUAUAACUCCCCAGGAAGUUCCGCUUUCGGCGCCGUUCAUCAGCAGGGUGGAGCGGAAGUUGACGAGACCGACUGAAUGUACACUCAGUAACGGAAGGAAGGGUCGCGCGAGCGGAAGCGGAGGACGCGUUCCGAGAAUGGAGGGCCGAUGAAGUACGACGGCCACGCUCGAGGGCAGAAGGGCCGUAGGUUAUCAGCCCACGCACCGCCACCCCCUUCGUUGGACCGCGUUCACGACUGAUCGUAAAUGCGAAUCAGGCGGUGCUCUCCGCGGGGGCGGGCCCUUUACAUCGCUAAUAUCGCGCGAUUGUGGUGCUUCUUACCUUCGCCCCACGGAGCGGGAAAGAAAUGUCUUUUCGCGCGCGGUCUCCCGGCGCCCGCGAACGCUGACGAACUAUUGUGGACGGGCCGUCGGGUUGACGAGAGGCGAGAGCGCGUCACAAUGGUUGGCAACGGGCGUUCGACUGGAUGGAAUUUCACUCCGACGAAAUUUAAUUUCUUCGUGAGCUCGUGUCCGAAGAAACGCGAUAGAGCGUCUCGCAAGGAUUGGAUAUCCAACCUUGGCGUCGGCGUCGGCAGUAACGUCGACGGCGCGGCGCGGUAUGACGGGGAAGAGACGAUCGUGGGUGCCGUGAGAAUCGGACUGCAGGGGCUCACGCGGACUUAGGGGGUGGAAGUGAGACGGGAACGCCCGUACGAACGGACGUGGCCUUUUUCCGUUGAAAGAGCGAAAAAUGAGGAUUCCGUGCGCGGAGGCGGAGUUAUUGAAUAUCAAAGUUUCGAAAUUCCGCGGUGCCAGCAAAGUUCACUCGAAAACAUAACUUAUAAGUAACUUCGACUCCGGGGCGGGUGGGAUUCGACCGGGGAGAGGUAUGAGGACAGGGAGACGACGACGGGUCACCCGACUAAGGGUGAAAAAGCAGAAGGGCGGAAGUCGGGCUGGAAAUGGCGGGGGUGGAGUCGUGCAGAGGGGCUGUCGCGGGGUGGCGGCGGACGGGGGAGGAACGAGGGCCGGGAUCAUUCGUCUCCCUGAGCCGGAAGUUAGGCUGAGCUCCGACUCGAGGACGAAGUUUGGUCAGAGUCCAAGUCGCUAAAAGGAAGAAAAUUUCAGAAAAUACGGAGGAGACGCGCGUACGUCGCGAGCCAUUGGAGAAAUUUAGCGCGGCCGGUAUAGCGUUGCGGCUGGCCUCGCAAACUCGCGAAACUCUUUUAAACGAACUAACGUCGGCAACGUCGCCCACGGAAUGUUCCCCACAGGGACAAGCAGAAGUCCUCGAGCGUGAACACGUGCUCUAAGAUAAAGAGGAAAAGAGAGAGAGAG